UACGUAGGGUGCGAGCGUUAAUCGGAAUUACUGGGCGUAAAGCGUGCGCAGGCGGUUUUGUAAGUCAGAUGUGAAAGCCCCGGGCUUAACCUGGGAACUGCGUUUGAAACUGGGGAGCUAGAGUGUAGAAGAGGGGGGUGGAAUUCCAGGUGUAGCAGUGAAAUGCGUAGAGAUCUGGAGGAACACCGAUGGCGAAGGCAGCCCCCUGGGCUAACACUGACGCUCAUGCACGAAAGCGUGGGGAGCAAACAGG
rnacentral:rRNA from 1 species